rnacentral:tRNA from 1 species
AUCCGCUGGCCGAGGAGGGCUUUGCUUCGGUGGGUUGCUAUACCUGCUCGACGCGGGCCGAGGCGGGGGAGAACGCG